UACGUAGGGGGCGAGCGUUGUCCGGAUUUAUUGGGCGUAAAGAGCUCGUAGGCGGCUUUGCAAGUCGGGUGUGAAAUCCCCAGGCUUAACCUGGGAACUGCAUUCGAGACUGCAUUGCUAGAGUAUGGGAGAGGGAAGUGGAAUUUCCGGUGUAGCGGUGAAAUGCGUAGAUAUCGGGAGGAACACCAGUGGCGAAGGCGGCUUUCUGGGCCUUACCUGACGCUGAGACGCGAAAGCGUGGGGAGCGAACCGG
rnacentral:rRNA from 1 species